AAUCCUGGGACAUGGGGAACAGAAGCUGACACAGGAUAUGUUAAGCAAACAAACAAAUGUAUUAGAAGAAUCUAGAAUAGCUCAUAGUAAAGAAGAAAAAGUUGAAGAAUCUAAGUUCUUAAAAGAAAAAAACAAUCGAAGAUAGGCUAGGAAUUUAGCUUGGAGGAAUCGUGCAGAUUCCUCUGUUCCGAGGCAACUAGGGUGAAAUUAUUGGAUCCAUUUUGCUUCUGUGUCACUGCUCUGGACACUGGGAUUCCAGGUCAAGACUAUCUGACAGGUCAAGCUUCAGCCAGGAGCUUCAUUAGCAGGAAGAGAUUCGGUGCUGUACUGGGGAGCUAGCUACACAGAAGUAGUCCUAAGCGUGGUCAACUCAACAUCUCCAGCUCAGCCUCUUCCAGUUCGCUAUCUUCCAAAUUCUGAAUCCGCUUGCUGGACAUCUCCUCACCAGGCUAGUAUAUGCGCUCGCGCUCUCUCUUUCUCCUCAGAAGCAAGCAGGGAUGUGUGUGUGUGUGUGUGUACAGCUUAAAAUGUUGGAGAAGGGAAGACAAGUAAAGGGGGUGACGUUGGCUACAAGCAUGGUGGAUACCAUGGGUCCCUGAGGAAAUAAACUGUUUGCGGUUUUCCCC
rnacentral:lncRNA from 1 species